GGUAUCAAGAUGAGUAAGCCUCAGUUGUCAAGGAGUUUAAUGUCAAUACUAAGAUAAGACAAUAAUUAAGGAACUGUAACAUGCUGCAGAGGAAUCAGAGGCAGCCAAGGGCACAUCUGUUAAAGGAGGGAUCAGGAAGCCUUCCUCCAUACCUAAUACUUGAGCUGGGUCAUGAUGAACAGUGGGAAAGCAACAGAGUGAGACCCAACACAAGAGGACACCAUUCCCGCAAGCAAUAAUGUGGGUACACGAGAAAGGUGAAGCAGGGUAAAAGAACAGUCAAUCAUCCACUAUGGCCAAACUUGUGAUACACAUAAGGGAUAAAACUGUGAUAAUCUGUGGAAAGGCUAGAAUGCUAGGUUAAAGCAUUUAGGUUAAUUCACAGUAUCAGCACAGAAGAAAAUGGACCUCAUAUUGAUAAAAACUUGUGGGGAAGACUGAAGGCAGUACAAUCAGUGAGACUGCAAAAUUCCAGGUUCAAGACAGAGGUGAGGUCACUAAGGUCACUCAGGAAGGCAACUCACCCAACUGAAAACAUUCAACUUGCCACUUUUACUAAAAGUACAAAUGUUUUUUUUUUUAUUAUUUUUAUAAUUUGUUCCUAAAAAAAUAACCAGCGAGGGAAGAAAAAAAGAUCAAGUAUGUAAUGAAAAUCUGAUAUUACAAG